CUCAGACCAGCCCUAGCACGCUGCCGCAGAAGCCCAGCCCAGAGCGCCACGCACGCUUGCUAAUUCGCGUCGCCAGAUGCUCCCCGAGUUCUCCGCACCACCGGAGCAUCUCCGUGCCGAACCCAGGAUCCCCGCCGCCACGCAGGUUCUGGAUCUGGUCGUGUUCCCCGGAUGUUGUGCUGAGUUCACCGACCGGCUGGCUCAGAUCCACGCCACCUCUAUCGUUGAGAAGACGCCAUCGUAUGGAGACCUGGGACCUGGGCUCCGUUUUCUGCCGCCCCUCCAGAAGCAGCUCGACGGCACUGAGGCUCCCGUAGAGGAUGGCCUGGUGGAGUAGUGUCAGUCCAAGGAGCUGUCACACCUUCUCUAUCUGAAGAUCUGGUGGACAACGAGUUGUUGGUCCACGUGAACCAUGGAUCGACAAGCGCUCCUGGGACCAACCUGGCGAAGACCGAAGAAAGUGGCUGAACGGGUGCGCGUGUUGGUUCUGUGAGCGUGUGCUGUGGACCAGUUGGCCCAGCUGUAAUAGGCGUGUGUGUGGUUAAAAGGGACCUGAUGGCCCUCAGGGUAUGGUAUGCUGUAGUUGAAUUCUGAAAUACAACUCAUCCCAGUUCGUCUCUAUCUCAUCCCCAAAUUCGUCAUCCCAUCCUUGCUCUUGUUUUCUCAUCUCAAAUUCUUGCUGAUUUCGUGUGUGCCGAUCCCAUCUUAGAUCAGGACACCACAGGAGCAUGGCGCUCAACGUUUACACUAUAGUCCGGGCGUUAUUCUUGAUGUAUUAUGCUUUUCGAUGGAAGGAUGGAUGGAUGCAGCGAGGGCGCAAUCCCAUUGGUUCAUUACUUGGUUGACUAGGAGUGCCAUUGUUUCCUGGCCUGGUCCCCAGUUCUAAGGGAUGAGAUUUAUUGUAUCAUCACGGGGAAGAUGGUUUUUAUUAUUACCGUACAUAAGUACAAGGUUCAGGACUUCUGGUGGGUGAUCCCUGACCCAAAUGACAAAAACAAUAUGUUUUCUGCCGCAUAAAAGAAUCGUUCUCUUUCUAUGACUUAAGGUUGAUUUAGGAUAAGAAGUAAUUAAAGGUAGGUAAACUCGGCAGAACUUUGAACAUCAGUUCAGUCUAUACCUUCGCUAUAGUGGAAGAUUAGUUGACGUGUUAACCUGCUUGUUGCACCUGUCACUUGGGGAUUCUUCUUUGGUGUCUGUCCUUGCCUUAAGAAAAUACAUAUGAUCCAGAAUAAGGUAAUUUUCAGCUAUAUGGGGUUACAAGUCCGCAAUCGUUCUUCCUUCCUUUAUUGACCAUUCCACCGUCGUUUCAUAAAGAUUAAUUUAGGAAAUAUGUGACAGAUGACUGGAAAUGUUGAUUUUACCUCGAAAUUCUGUUCCUGCUCGAUGUCUUUUGUGCAAGUUGCGCGUAUCUGAAUUUCAUGCAAAGUUGUUGCAUAGAUUACUUGCUCUUUAUGAUGUUGUGAUUUUUUUUUACUCUGGUGCAAGAAGGUAUCCUUGCGUCAAUUUCUUGGAAAUAUUAGCAUCUUCAAAUGAAAUUCAUCAUUUAAUCACCCUUAAGUGAGAGGUAUUUCCUUGUACUGAAAUAUAAUACCACCAAUGGUUAUACUCCAGAAUUGCACACAUAUCUCUACCUAGGAUAGAUUACCCCGAUUUUUUUGUUACCCUGUUGCCAAUAAGGCUCUACUGUGUCCAUGUCUUGAGAGUCUUGGCAUAAUAAAAUGAAAUUCUUCAUUUAAUCAUCCGUGAGUUAGACAUAUUUAUCUGUACUUUGUAAUACAAUAUUUAAAGCACAAAGCUUAUACUACCAAUUUCUUCAAAAAAAAAAAAGCUUAUACUACCAAUGUUUUAUAGUAUAGAAUUGCACACAUAUCUCUACCUAGGAUAGCUUAUACGACCAAUGGUUUAAUGUCAUUUUUUACAGUAUAUUUCACCGAAGGAAAUCUAUCUUCACAGAAACAUUGAAUUGAGUAUUUUUUUAUUUUACACAAAGAAUGAUGUAAGCUGCAUGUUAUUUGAAUCAUGCAAUGAAAUAGAGGUUUAUUAUUUAGGUUUAUUUAUAUGGACUGAAAGAUCUUAUGAUUGGGGGAGCAGUAUAGCAAAGAAGGGGUUUCAAGGAUCAGAGUGGGUCGUGCCAUUCUCCAUAUGGGUUCCCCUCGCGACUACCCUUUGGGCAACUAUUCACGCAAUUAACAUUUCCCCUGUGUUGCUCAGGCGAUUAAAGUCAUUUCAGCUCAGUUCUAGAGUUACUCAGUGUUUCAUUUUUGUUCAUUUGCUUCCUGGCUGAUGCAUCUGUAGAAUAUUAGUGGCUAGAUUUGUUCUUAAUCAUUUGGCCUUUCAAAGGAUGAAGCCCAACUUGCCCAAGUACCUCUCGAAGACCUAGCACGUGGUCAUAUCCUUCACAUGUUGUUUAUAUACAGGGAAACUGAGUUGUUUUCCCUCCCGUUCAAGAUGGAUGCCAUGAGUUUUUCUUGAUAUUAAUCACAUGGAUUUUGGUGUAUCCAAUAAUAAGAAGUUAUUUGAUCACAUAGUAAGGGUUAUUCUCUUUUUUUCUUCUGUUUUCUAAUAUACAUGAGUGUUUUGGCUGAUGUUCUCUUCAGAAAUAGAGGUCAACUGCUGUUGUUUCCCUUGUGGCAGUGGAGAUGAUGGGUAUUAUUGUUUCAAGAUUACUUCUGUUUUGAGAGAGUUUUGAGAUGAUGGGCAUUAUUGUUUCAAGCCUGAGACCAAGCAUGCAACCCAGUAGCGAAGCUGGCAGCGACAACAACAACAUUUUAAUGUGGAAUUUUUUUCUGAGAAUUGGUGCGGCUUAUAAAAGAGACUUUUUUAUUCUUUUGGUUUACAUUUAACUAUGGGAAUCACAACACUUUAGAGGAAUCAUUUUCCAUUAAGCAACUUUCUUAAACUAUUUGUACAUGGUAACAUGUGAACUAAA